GUCUUUUUGAUUUAUAAAAGGUCGUAUCUGCCCACUGAAUGUAUUGAAGGGCCGCGGUAUUUUGACCGUGCAAAGGUAGCAUAAUCAUUAGUUUUUUAAUUGGAAACUGGAAUGAAUGAUUUGACGUAACAAUUACUGUCUCUAAAUUAUUUAUUGAAUUUUAUUUUUGAGUUAAAAAGCUUAAAUGAUAAUAAGGGACGAGAAGACCCUAUAGAUUUUAAUAGUUUGAUUUUUUUAAGGUUGACUGGAUUAAUUUAGGCUUAUUUAAUUAAAUUAUUUCGUUGGGGUGAUGGGGGAAAAUAUAAACUUCUCUUUUAUUAUCAUUGAUAAGUGAUUAAUAGAUCCUUUAUUAUGGAAUGAAGAUUAAAAUACCUUAGGGAUAACAGCGUUAUUUUGUUUGAGAGUUCAAAUCGACAACAAAGAUUGCGACCUCGAUGUUGGAUUAAAAUUAGUAUUUAAUGCAGAAGUUAAUUUAUUUUGGUCUGUUCGACCAUUAUAAUUUUACA
rnacentral:rRNA from 1 species